rnacentral:misc_RNA from 1 species
UUUCCGUAGGUGAACCUGCGGAAGGAUCAUUAUCGAGUUUUGACUGGGUUGUAGCUGGCCUUCCGAGGCAUGUGCACGCCCUGCUCAUCCACUCUACACCUGUGCACUACUGUGGGUAUCAGAUCGUGAAGCGUGCUCUUUUACCGGAGCUUGUGAAGCGUGUCUGUGCCUGCGUUUAUCACAAACACUAUAAGUAUCAGAAUGUGUAUUACGAUGUAACGCAUCUAUAUACAACUUUCAGCAACGGAUCUCUUGGCUCUC